GCCCGAGUGGCGGAACGGUAGACGCAGGGGAUUCAAAAUCCUCCGCCCUAACGGGUGUGUGAGUUCGAAUCUCACCUCGGGCACCA
rnacentral:tRNA from 1 species